UUUCUUUUUAGACUCUGAAAUAAGUCUGUUUGAUUCUUCGCUUUUGGAUAAUCUCGAUCAAAUCGACACCCGGUUAGCCAAUCGCACUCAGCUCGGAUUUUUAUGAUCUCCCGCAGAGGUUAAGACUUGCUUUGAUCUCUCACAAGCCAUCUGACUUCGGAAGCAUGGACAGCUGGCUCUCACUCAGGUUAAAUAAUUUAACAUUUAGGCCUAAAUUUAACUGUUUUUCUCUCUCAGAAAAACAAGUUUUCUCCUUUUUUCACAAACAACAUGGCCACCAGACCUACCAACCUCACUGUGUGUUACGGUUUGGAGGAGGACUCAAGCGCAGGACUCCGGUUCUGAUGCUCACAAGAAGGGUUUAUUUACAAUCCACCAGGUGUAUAUACAAGAAUGUGCGGGGGGGUGCUAUAUACAGCUGAGUGAGGGGAGAAGGGGUCUCCAAGGAAGUCCAGGGGAAAGCACGCGUUCUUCAGAAUAUCCACUCACACGAUCACAGGCUCACACUCCGACACUGCCACACGGGAAUCACACGGGGGGAAAAUCCAGGGAGCUCUGUAGACAGGGAGACAGGGUUAAGUACGACGCACACAGGAAAACACUCUAACUUGCUGUAGCUUGGCUUCACUAACGCGUGGUAGACAACGAUCCAGCGACGAACAGCAGUCACCUCCUGGCUUAAGUGCUGAUCACCUUAACGAGACCCAGGUGUCUCAUCUCCCGAGGGCGUGGGCCGAGGGCGUGAACCCACAGUGAGUUCCGCCCCGGCGAGAGAGAAGAGGAGAGAAGAAGAGAGAGAGUGCUGAUCAGCGUGCAGCUGAUCCGCCUGGCCGUGACACUGUGGUCUCUCAGACCCCCGUAACCAGCUACAGAGCCUCUGCCACGCCAGCGCAACUCAGACGAAUGCAUCUUUGCCGGGUCCAACCUGCAUCUGCUAUCCCUUUGGAGGAGAGAUUCAGGCUCAACACCGGUGGGUUUUGGGGCUAUGCUUUCAGCCUUAGAGAAAUCUAUUUCUACCAGCUAAAAGCGGGUUAAGGUUUUGGCCCGCUAACACCGCGGAUCGCCUUUACUUCGUCUGACUGGGGUGUUUUGAGCCUCAUCGCUACGCCUGAAGUGCAGAAGAGCCUGCGGGACGAGCUCGCAACAACCGUGAACCACGGAUCAACAACAACUCGCCUCACUUUCCCUAUGUGCAUAUCAAUCGACUCUGAUUUAAGCCAGAUGUGUUAACCUGAUCCCUGCGAAACACCAGCUCUGCGUGGAUUUUGACCGCGAGUGACCGGAUGUUGUUUCCGGCCUGAGGUUGCCUGAAAUGCCGUGAGGCUCGUUUGAAAGAUUGCGCCGGAGACCAACUCCGCCUCCAAGGCGUGCCUAUCUUUAGCUGCCACCAGUGAGAUAUCAGAGCCGGGCUCCACAUAUCCAAUCAGGACAACGAGCAAGACAGCUUUUGCAGACUCUCCAGAAAUAUACAAGUCCUUAUCAACUGCUCUGCAACCCAGUGUUUCUGGUCCCCUCACCAACAUCGCCUUUUUGAGAUAUUUUUUAUGAACCACCAAAAAGAGCCAUUU